rnacentral:rRNA from 1 species
UACGUAGGGUGCAGGCGUUAAUCGGAAUUACUGGGCGUAAAGCGUGCGCAGGCGGUCUGCUAAGAGAGAUGUGAAAUCCCCGGGCUUAACCUGGGAACUGCGUUUCUAACUGGCAGGCUUGAGUGUGGCAGAGGGGGGUGGAAUUCCACGUGUAGCAGUGAAAUGCGUAGAGAUGUGGAGGAACACCGAUGGCGAAGGCAGCCCCCUGGGCUAACACUGACGCUCGAUGCACGAAAGCGUGGGGAGCAAACAGG